rnacentral:rRNA from 1 species
CCUACGGGAGGCAGCAGUGGGGAAUAUUGGACAAUGGGGGGAACCCCGAUCCAGCCAUGCCGCGUGUGUGAAGAAGGCCCUCGGGUUGUAAAGCACUUUCAGUGAGGAAGAACGCCUGGUGGUUAAUACCCAUCAGGAAAGACAUCACUCACAGAAGAAGCACCGGCUAACUCCGUGCCAGCAGCCGCGGUAAUACGGAGGGUGCGAGCGUUAAUCGGAAUUACUGGGCGUAAAGCGCGCGUAGGUGGCUUGAUAAGCCGGUUGUGAAAGCCCCGGGCUCAACCUGGGAACGGCAUCCGGAACUGUCAAGCUAGAGUGCAGGAGAGGAAGGUAGAAUUCCCGGUGUAGCGGUGAAAUGCGUAGAGAUCGGGAGGAAUACCAGUGGCGAAGGCGGCCUUCUGGACUGACACUGACACUGAGGUGCGAAAGCGUGGGUAGCAAACAGGAUUAGAUACCCCGGUAGUC